rnacentral:rRNA from 1 species
CCUACGGGAGGCAGCAGUGGGGAGUAUUGCACAAUGGGCGCAAGCCUGAUGCAGCCAUGCCGCGUGUGUGAAGAAGGCCUUCGGGUUGUAAAGCACUUUCAGCGGGGAGGAAGGCGUUAAGGUUAAUAACCUUGGCGAUUGACGUUACCCGCAGAAGAAGCACCGGCUAACUCCGUGCCAGCAGCCGCGGUAAUACGGAGGGUGCAAGCGUUAAUCGGAAUUACUGGGCGUAAAGCGCACGCAGGCGGUCUGUCAAGUCGGAUGUGAAAUCCCCGGGCUCAACCUGGGAACUGCAUUCGAAACUGGCAGGCUAGAGUCUUGUAGAGGGGGGUAGAAUUCCAGGUGUAGCGGUGAAAUGCGUAGAGAUCUGGAGGAGUACCGGUGGCGAAGGCGGCCCCCUGGACAAAGACUGACGCUCAGGUGCGAAAGCGUGGGGAGCAAACAGGAUUAGAUACCCGGGUAGUC